UGGGGAAUAUUGGACAAUGGGGGCAACCCUGAUCCAGCCAUGCCGCGUGUGUGAAGAAGGCCUUUUGGUUGUAAAGCACUUUAAGCAGUGAAGAAGACUCCAUGGUUAAUACCCAUGGACGAUGACAUUAGCUGCAGAAUAAGCACCGGCUAACUCUGUGCCAGCAGCCGCGGUAAUACAGAGGGUGCAAGCGUUAAUCGGAAUUACUGGGCGUAAAGCGAGCGUAGGUGGCUUGAUAAGUCAGAUGUGAAAGCCCCGGGCUUAACCUGGGAACGACAUCUGAUACUGUUAGGCUAGAGUAGGUGAGAGGAAGGUAGAAUUCCAGGUGUAGCGGUGAAAUGCGUAGAGAUCUGGAGGAAUACCGAUGGCGAAGGCAGCCUUCUGGCAUCAUACUGACACUGAGGUUCGAAAGCGUGGGUAGCAAACA
rnacentral:rRNA from 1 species